CCUACGGGAGGCAGCAGUGGGGAAUAUUGGACAAUGGGCGCAAGCCUGAUCCAGCCAUACCGCGUGUGUGAAGAAGGCCUUUUGGUUGUAAAGCACUUUAAGCGAGGAGGAGGCUCUUGAGGCUAAUACCCUUGAUGAGUGGACGUUACUCGCAGAAUAAGCACCGGCUAACUCUGUGCCAGCAGCCGCGGUAAUACAGAGGGUGCGAGCGUUAAUCGGAAUUACUGGGCGUAAAGCGCGCGUAGGCGGCUUGUUAAGUCGGAUGUGAAAUCCCCGGGCUCAACCUGGGCACUGCAUUCGAUACUGGCAAGCUAGAGUAUGGGAGAGGAAGGUAGAAUUCCAGGUGUAGCGGUGAAAUGCGUAGAGAUCUGGAGGAAUACCGAUGGCGAAGGCAGCCUUCUGGCCUAAUACUGACGCUGAGGUGCGAAAGCAUGGGGAGCAAACAGGAUUAGAUACCCUGGUAGUCCAUGCCGUAAACGAUGUCAACUAGCCGUUGGGGACCUUGAGUCUUUAGUGGCGCAGCUAACGCGAUAAGUUGACCGCCUGGGGAGUACGGUCGCAAGACUAAAACGUCAAAGGAUUGACGG
rnacentral:rRNA from 1 species